GUGCAGUGGGGCUUGGCUGGUAGGAAGGGUUUUAAAGUCUCUGCAUUCUUCAGACAUGUCCUUUCCCAUCAUUUGUGUGUGUUUGUCGCUUAUGAACCUGAUUCCUGAUCUGGCUGUCUCUGAUUUACGACGCUGGCCCGGAGGCUGAAACAAGCCCAAACAGACCCUCUUUGGUCUGGACACAUGGCCCCACACGAUGGCCCAGCUGGUCAUGCAGCUAUCAGAGACUGCGGUAUUUGAGCUGGAGCGAGGAGGGGAGUGAGGAGCUGCCCAGCACACUGUGCUCAUAUCAAAGAGGACUUCCUUCACAACACACCUCCCACCCUGUCACACACACACGCAUGCGCACACACACACACCACACUCACCAACAACAACCUCUGACUUUCUUUAGCCCUCAUUGUAUGAGAGUGGGUUUGAGUGUCCAAAAACGUAGCCUUUACAGAGGAGAGAGAGUUUUCGAUGUCAUCACGAGGGCUCGGGUCAGGAGGAUAUUGUACUUAGCAAUACAUCAAUGACAGACUUGAAAAACACACAACUAACUAACAAAAGAGGCAUUCAGACAACUUUCCUAACCUCCCAUUAGGUUCUAAAAGGCCAGACUUGACGUUUCGGGGAUGGUUAAUAGUGUUUAAGAAAUAUGUGCAUUAAAAUGCAUAUACCUACAGUACUCUAACUGUCAUCGUGGCUAAACAGAAUUAUUAGAAACUGACAGCAUCACCCACUGUUGAAUAUUUUAAUUCUUUUCAACAAAGAUUAUAUUUUUUAAAUGCUAAAACAAUGCUUUUUAUUGAUGCAUUCAUUAAAUAAAUGUUAAAUAAGAAUAGUUUAGUGUAAAGAUAAAUAGUUGAUAACAGGCUUAUUGUUACAUUACUUUUAGAACACACUUUUUAAUCAUUGAUCUGGUCCCCAUCGCCCUCUAUUGGCGAUAAAUAUGUACAUUGUUGUUCUAGAAUUCUCUUACCAGCAGGGGGACCUGCAAAGCAAUUUAUAGUACUGGCAUGUAUCCUGAUACCAUAUUGUCAAUGGUUCCUUUCCUAUGGUUGAUUGAAAUCAUGUGGUAUUGAAAGUGGCUUGUUAGUGGAAGGUAGCAUGUGGGUUUUCACUAUAGGCAGGCGGAAUCAUUAUUUGAGAUGCACACACAUUACAUUUUCCCUUAAAUCAUUGCAUUGAUGUCAAUUACAGAUGUGUGUAAAAGUUUUGGCAACAGAAGCAUAUAGAUUUUGCCCUGCAGUUCCACUGUCUUACCACUAAUAGGGGUUGAAGUCGGUGCUGUGCUAUGCUUGUAUCAGGCAUGUCUUGGCCAUAGAAGUUACAGAGAAACCUGCUCAAUGCAAAGCCAUGGAAACACUGUGUGUGUGUGUGUGUGUGUGUGUGUGUGUGUGUGUGUGUGUGUGUGUGUGUGUGUGUGUGUGUGUGUGUGUGUGUGUGUGUGUGUGUGUGUGUGUGUGUGUGUGUGUGUGUGUGUGUGGGGUAGAGACAUGGUAAUAAUUCCCCUACAGUUUUAGAUUUCACAUGAUGCAUAUGCAUCAUAUUCCGCAUCCAUCUCAAGUCCUGACAUCAUGGGAGAGGAAGUUUCUAAUUCCACUUGGGCAAUUUACCACUGAUGUAGCCUUAGAAAGUACCACAUUUCAAGGGAGAGAAAUUAAUUUCCACUCCUAUUAUAUUUUUAAGCACAAAACACUUUCAUCUUCUGUCAAGCCUCCCCUUGUAAUAAUAGACAGAACUUUUCUGAGAGAGGACUGAUUGUGGAAUUUACUCCUGGUGUUCGGGUUUUACAGUCUUACACUAAAAUACAGAAUGCAUAGACAAAGAACAUUUGGCGUACAGUGCAAUCUGUGAGCAACACACUGCAUUAAAAGUGUAUUCUACAAGUGUAUUCCUUACCGGCACAGUGACAAUGUUAGAGCACAUUCAACAGCCAAAUGCAUUUACAGCGAAAGCACCUGCAGGUCUGACACAUCAGUCAUCUGUGGUUGACCAUUUAUUUUGAAAGAAACCACAAGGGAAGGAGAGGUGUCCUCUCUGAAGAUAGUCCUUUCACUAUAGAUAUGUGCUGGUAUGGCAUGGCUUCAAAUACCCAAUCUGUGCACCAAAAACUAUUCCUGGAUUUGUGAUGAUUGAUGACUCUUUCACUUGGGAGGCAGAGGGGGGAAAAUAACGAUGUUUGAUGAAAUCCAGGUUAACACCCUAAAGAAAUGUAAUAAAGCACGGGCAAUGUUUGCAGCUGCUCGCCAUGUUAAAAUGACUAGGGCCUGUAGCUGGCAGGUUAUCAGGGCAGAUGGUUCUAAUUGAACCUUUGAUCUUGGUGCCAAGGUCUGUCAUAAAGAAAGCUCAUUCUCCCCAUCUGCUAGUGACAAGGCCUCGUCUUUAAGGCCUGUCUGACAGAGGAGAGGUGAGCCACAUGUUCAUGUGCAUUACAGGGUUAGCUACCCUAUAUAGUCUGAUCUCCCAUGGCUAACGUGGAGUUAUUUUACAAAAGGCCAUUUUCUGACUUCAGAAAUGUGUUUUAAACUUUCUUUGUACAAAUGUUCUGAUUUACGCAGAGCUUGAACAAUGCAUGUUUGUCUCUCAAAUCAGAAUUACUUCCUAAAAGGUAGAGAAAGACAUGAUCAUGACUUUCUAUUAACUGUUUUUGGAGGGAAGAAACUAAAUAAAUGCCAGAUACAAAACAUUGAUAAAAAAAUAAAUGUUACUGACAAAACUGAGUAAAGCAUUUAGCAUGUGACUACUAGAAAGAGGGGAGAACAUACCUCAUUCCUAGAUCUGCACCUGUGUGAGAUACUGUACCUGUCAAAAUGUCUGCUUGUUUACUAGCUGGUAAUGUAUUUUAUUCAAGUUAAUAACAUUAAAACACACCAAGUUAUAUAAAACGUGCCAGUUAAUAAGAUAUAAUGUUAUUAAAAGCACUUUGCUAAUGCUAAGUUAAUAUGUAGUUUAUUAGUUAGUUCUGUACAUCAGUUAUUAAAAGGGAGUCAGUCAUUCUUUUUCCAACAGGUGUCUGUAUAUCAAAAAUAAAUGAGUUUGGUCAAUGGUUGACAAUUAUACCUGAUUCACAAUA